CUGAAUUUCGGGUCGGCGCUCGUGAUCGUUUUAAUAAGUAGGAUACGAUUCGGACACGUGAACCUGGGCAAAAUUGAAGUAGCCUAAACGGCGUUGCUGGUUCGAUUUUCAUAACUUCGGUAAAUAUUAAAAAAUGGUACGUAGCAAAGCGCUCCCGAUACGUAGCGGUAGCGAUUGCGAUCGUAAACGUGUCAAGUGAUUUGCCGUUUCCGUUUUUGACAUAUGUAGAGGUUAUGGUGUCUUUUUUUUCGGCUGUUUCGAAGUACCUACUACAGCAGAAAUUAGUAGAAACGGACGUUAUGGACAUUUUAAUUCAAAACGAAAUGACGGAGGAUAAUUUGGUCAAAUGGCUUUAGAAUUAGCAGAACCAGUUCGAAUAUUUGAGGAUAAUGAAGGUGCUAGGUCUGUCCAAUAUCAAAAAAUGGCAAGCAUUACGAAAACUAAGUUACCACAACAUCUAGGACGUUUCGGAGCAGCGAGACAUUUGAUAUGUUUAAAAGAGGUGCUAGAAGAAGAGCUACCACACCUGGAAGUAGAUAUUGCAGAUGAGGGUGGAAAUGAGGAGAGGAAC